rnacentral:ribozyme from 14 species
AAGUAUGAAGCAGAAAAGAGAAUGAUAGCAAAAUACCGGGGUAGGAGCGAUACAAUGGCAUGCUGCAAUGGCGGCCAUGGCAUUUCCUCUUCCUUUUGAUCCUUCUUUUUUUCACCAUUACUUCCGUUAUCUUCUUUCUUCUCUUUGUUGCUGCAUCUAUUAUAUUGAAUG